CAGCAGCCGCGGGAAUGCGUAGGUGGCAAGCGUUGUCCGGAAUUAUUGGGCGUAAAGGGCUCGCAGGCGGUUUCUUAAGUCUGAUGUGAAAGCCCCCGGCUCAACCGGGGAGGGUCAUUGGAAACUGGGAAACUUGAGUGCAGAAGAGGAGAGUGGAAUUCCACGUGUAGCGGUGAAAUGCGUAGAGAUGUGGAGGAACACCAGUGGCGAAGGCGACUCUCUGGUCUGUAACUGACGCUGAGGAGCGAAAGCGUGGGGAGCGAACAGGAUUAGAUACCCGCGUAGUCCCUGUCUCUUAUAC
rnacentral:rRNA from 1 species